rnacentral:rRNA from 1 species
UGCGUAGGCGGAAUGAUAAGUUAGUGGUGAAAGCCCCCGGCUCAACCGGGGAACUGCCAUUAUUACUGUCAUUCUUGAGUAUAGUUGAAGUGGGCGGAAUGUAUCAUGUAGCGGUGAAAUGCUUAGAUAUGAUACAGAACACCGAUAGCGUAGGCAGCUUGCUAAACUAUAACUGACGCUCAGACACGAAAGCGUGGGGAGCAAACAGGAUUAGAUACCCUGGUAGUCC